rnacentral:lncRNA from 1 species
GUUCUCUUCCACACUGUGGAAGCUUUGUUUUUUUGCUCUUUGCAAUAAAUCUUGCUGCUGCUCACUCUUUGGGUCCACACUGCCUUUAUGAGCUGUAACACUCACUGUGAAGGUCUGCAGCUUCACUCCUGAAGCCAGCGAGACCAUGAACCCACCAGAAAGAAGAAACUCUGAACAUGUCCGAACAUCAGAAGGAACAAACUCCGGACACACCACCUUUAAGAACUGUAACGCUCACCGCGAGGGUCCGCAGCUUCAUUCUUGAAGUCAGAGAGACCAAGAACCCACCAAUUCUGGACACAGCGCCACUGCACUCCAGCCUGGGCAACAAAGCAAAAUUCCAUCUCCAAAACAAACAAACAAAAAACAAACAAAAAAAACUCUUUACGCCUUCUCCUCCCUUCUUUGACUCUAAGUAUCUGGAGUUUGCUUCUUUGUCCUGAACAGAGUAACAAUAAAAAUCAAGGAUUCAAACUAGAAGAGGUGGAUAUGGUUCUGCAUGUCAGUGAAACUACUGAUGCCAGCUGAUCUGAAGGGCUCUGCAAGGCACCAACUCACCAAAGAAUGCAGUUUUGACAUCCUGAUGACUUCAUACCUCUUACUGCCACCAAACUACACCAACUUUCCAGCCGCUUGCUAUCCAUGAUCCCCUGAAAACCCUGAGUAAUCCUUGGGGAGAUGAAUUUGAGGAUCUCCUCCUAGCUUAUCAUUCAGCCACUCUGUGAUCAUUAAACUCUCUGCUGCAAACCCUGCUGUCUCAGAAUAUUGCUAAGCUACUGUGCAGCAGGCAUAGGAACCUGAUGGUCCUGUAAUAAAGUCAUGUCAAAA